rnacentral:rRNA from 1 species
GCUUAGAGAGGGGUCAAUGUCCUAUCAGCUAGUUGGUAAGGUAAUGGCUUACCAAGGCUAAGACGGGUAGCCGGCCUGAGAGGGUGGUCGGCCACACUGGGACUGAGACACUGCCCAGACUCCUACGGGAGGCUGCAGUCGAGAAUCUUUCGCAAUGCCCGAAAGGGUGACGAAGCGACGCCGCGUGUGGGAAGAAGGCCUUCGGGUUGUAAACCACUGUCGGGAGUUAAGAAAUGUAAGGGUGUUAAUAGCGUCCUUACUUGACUAAGGCUCCGGAGGAAGCCACGGCUAACUCUGUGCCAGCAGCCGCGGUAAUACAGAGGCGGCAAGCGUUGUUCGGAAUUAUUGGGCGUAAAGAGCACGUAGGCGGCUUUGUAAGUCAGUUGUGAAAGCCUUCCGCUUAACGGAAGAACAGCAUCUGAUACUGCAAGGCUAGAGUGCGGAAGGG